CUUUAGAUUAUAUUGCGCGUCCAGUAUACAGGUCCCUGUUAAUGGACUGUUACUAUAGAAACAGUAGGUGUAAACCUAUGAUUUAUGUUUUAGCUGGAACUACUGUCAGAGCUGCUGUUGCAGAAUUCAGCCGCGCUGUGGUGUAAUCCAUAAAGAAGUUUUCAAAGUUGCUACUCCGGCUCUCACUGUGGCCUACACCUUUCAAGCUUCACAUGACAUCACCCAUAGAAAAGCUAAGCUGUGCCGGAGUGUUGGGUCUGGAGUGAUUGCAGGCAGCUGGUGCUGAGGUGAAGUGACAUGUGUCUUGACACGGCAGCUCUGUGUUCGCACUCUGACUGACAAGCGAGGGAAUGUGACAGUGUGCAUCUGCUUGUGCAGGAAAUGUUGACUGGUGGCUCUACACGCUGUUUUCGUGCAGCUUGAUUCUUACCGAGGCGACGGAAAGUAGAAGGAGACGCGGAUGCCCGCUGGGCGGCGGGCAGGAAACAGACGAAAGGAGUGAAUAACGAUAAAUGCUGCGCUGUAGCGAGGCAAUAUGAAGAAAAGAUUCCCAAACAUGGCCGCCCAAAAUAUCGGCUAGGUCGGUCAGGCAGCUCGGCCAAUUAUAGAACUGUGACAACCUGCAGGGGGCGAAGAUGGAAAUUCUCUGCUCCGAUGCAAUAAAUCAAAGCUGAAUGGCUCAUUUUCAAGGUGAGCACCAGCCCAGUUUUGGGAGGAGGGAGGGAGUGGAGAGUCAGAGAUUUGCUGCGAGGAAGCAGGAAUUGGGCCAUUGAGGACCUUCAGAGGACGGUUUGUGCAGUAAUCACCUUUGCUCGAACUUGCUAAUAAAUGUGGAAUCUAAUUGAACGAAUUUAGGUUUAUACAUGCUGAGACUAUCACAUUCUUGUUUGUUCUCGUUCAAACAAAUUAUUAUUUUUUUGAAGACAUAAAAACAAUUAAACUUACACCACACAGGUCCAGCUAUUAGGGUGGCAUUUUAAAGAAGCAUUCAUUUUCUGCUUGCACUCUGCAGGUUUUCUUUAAUCCAUCAUCUAAACGAAAACC
ensembl:lncRNA